CUCUUGAUGGUGGAGGCAAAAAUGGAGAGCCCAAACAGACCAUUGGUUGUAUGACAGAGCGUGUUGUGGAAACUGGAUCAUUUGGAAUUGUUAUUGCAAACUCUUAGAACGCGGUUGAAGAUCUGAGGUUGGCCUGGCCUGGCAGAAUCAUCGAAGAUCUAGAAAUAGCAAAACCACCCAGUAUUUAGAACAAAGGACUUGGGAGUGAAGACGGAAAUCCAUGGGCUUCAACAAAUGAAAUGAAUUUAUAUGGUGACAAACCAAAAA